rnacentral:rRNA from 1 species
GAUGAACGCUGGCGGCGUGCCUAAUACAUGCAAGUCGAGCGAACAGAUGAGGAGCUUGCUCCUCUGACGUUAGCGGCGGACGGGUGAGUAACACGUGGAUAACCUACCUAUAAGACUGGGAUAACUUCGGGAAACCGGAGCUAAUACCGGAUAAUAUAUUGAACCGCAUGGUUCAAUAGUGAAAGACGGUUUUGCUGUCACUUCUAGAUGGAUCCGCGCCGCAUUAGCUAGUUGGUAAGGUAACGGCUUACCAAGGCAACGAUGCGUAGCCGACCUGAGAGGGUGAUCGGCCACACUGGAACUGAGACACGGUCCAGACUCCUACGGGAGGCAGCAGUAGGGAAUCUUCCGCAAUGGGCGAAAGCCUGACGGAGCAACGCCGCGUGAGUGAUGAAGGGCUUCGGAUCGUAAAACGCUGUUAUUAGGGAAGAACAAAUGUGUAAGUAACUAUGCACGUCUUGACGGUACCUAAACAGAAAGCCACGGCUAACUACGU